ACACACGUCUGCGGUGUUACCCACGACUGCCUGGGACCUGGCCAAGGGCUCCACACACCAAGACCAAGGCAGCAGGAAGGAGAAAGGAGGGAAGGUAAAAGACUACUGAAAAGCUUUCAGCUGGGGCUGGGCAUGGAGGCUCACACCUGUAAUCCCAACACUUUGGGAAGCCGAGGCUGGUGGAUCACUUGAGCCCAGGAGUCUGAGACCAGCCUGGCCAACAUGGCAAAACCCUGUCGCUACAAAAAAUACAAGAAUUAGCCAUGUGCACCUGUGGUCCCAGCUCCCAGGGCCGGGAGCCUGAAACCAAGGUGUCCACAGGGCCCUGCUGCCCCCAGAGGCUCUGGGCAGAGCCCUUCCGCCUUUCCAGCUCCCCCUGGUUCCCGUGCUCCUCGGCCUGUGGCCCCAUCACUCUGGCCUCUGCCUUCAUCUCAUGCCGAGAUCCCUGAAGCGGGCCCAGCUCCGUUCACUGCUCCCCCGGCCUCCUGCUGUUUCCCACACGCAGCCAUGGUACAGGGCAGCUCAUCCCACCACCUCCCCAACCGCAGCCUCCAGGGAUGUACACCCUGCCUCAGGGGCUGUGCCUGGGCCCUGGCUGGUGGAGGGCACAGCCGUCAGGGAAGGCCCUCAGCUGCAGGAUGCCGUGCCUCAGAGACCAACCAGGCCCUCGAAGGCACUGUGGCCGGCCCAGAUGUCAGCAGCUCCAGCAAUUAGGCUGGGACAGAUGGUGCCUGGUGACACAAGGGGACUGUGGGGGCCACAGGGGACCCUGCUCACCUGGACCUACCGUGGAGGCCAGGGAGGGAGAUGGACUCGAAGGGCGGAAGGGCCCAGAGAAGGCACAUUUGCAGAGCAGCGGCCGCAUUUCCAGAGCUCGGGAGCCCAACAGGAAUCCCGUCUGGCCAUGGGACCACCGCCCUUGGGGCUGGGGGAUGCCGCAGGGGACGGCAGAGGGCAGACAGGCCAGGAAAAGGGGAGGGCAGAGGGCAGACAGGCCAGGAAGAGCGCCUGCAAGUGCCCAAGGAAGGGACCAAACCCAGGCCCCUGGACCAGAGCGGCCGCCUGGUGGGGCAGGCUGGAAGGGGCCAAGGCCAGCGCCAAGGGGGAGCAGGUGAGGGACCCUGGUGGGCAUCUGUGGGAACAAGGCCACGUUUCUCCCUGCGCACGCUUUAAUCAAGGACAUUCCUGUGGUUCUCCAAAAGUGUCGCACACUACAUGGGUGUCGUGAGCUGGGCUCCGUGAGAGUGUGCGGGUGGCUGGGGGCAGCAAGGGAGCAGCAAGGCCUCAAACCCGGGCGGCGGCCUGGCCUGCGCGCCAGGAUGUGCGGUGUGAGUUUCCCGAGCUGCAGGAACAAGGUCCACAGACUGGGGAGCUUCACACAACAGAAACUGCCUCGCAGUUCCCGAGGCCAGAGCCCAUCGGGGUGGCUCCCUGAGGCCGUGAGCCCGGACUGUCCUGGGCCGCCCCCUCUUCCACAGGCUGAGAUCAUCCUUGGCGUCUGUUGGCCUGCGGCCGCCUCGCCCAACCUCUGCCCUCAUGUCCACACGGGUCCUCCCUGUGUGCAUGUUGGUGUCUGGAUCUGCCCUUUCUACUGUGGGGCAACUGUCGUCGAGGAUAGGGCCCACCACACAACACGGCCUCAUCGUAACUAAGUAUAGUCAGCAGUGAUCCUAUUUCCCAAUAAGGUCCCAUUCUGAGGUCCUGGACUUCAACAUGUGAAUUUUGGGGGCCACAACUCUACCCUGGCAUGCAGAGAGAGAAGGGGGGCGUGGAGUCCCCCUGGGGGGAAGUCCCUUGGGAAGUCACAGGCCCCCUUGGUGGGGCAAUUGGGACGUGGGUGUGAGGGUCCUGGGUACAGGGAGCCUGCCUACCAAGGCUCUGCCGACAGCUAUUUCUAAAUUCCUCGUGGAAAAUACCCUGUGGCCCUCCUCAUCUGGAGCGAGCGACGGGCUGGAGGGUGUCUGAGCCAGGCUGGUGCCGGGGAGCAGAUGUGGGUGGCCCAACCCAGCCCCUUGUUCUUGUUCCCC
rnacentral:lncRNA from 10 species